CUGCAUUAGGUCACCUAUAGGCUUGAUCACGGAUUCAUAGCAAGUGUUCAAAUUGGUAUAAUUCAUCAAAGGGUCUUUUAAAGGUUGUAGUGGGGCAUACGGAGUGGAGGUAAGGAUUUCUGGAUAAGUAGCUUAAAACUUGGUUCCAGUCAUACCGACCUAUCUUCUUCAGUACUAGCACACCCACUUCAUCUUCUCCCUUUAUUUUCAGUAGGGAUUUA
rnacentral:lncRNA from 1 species